rnacentral:lncRNA from 1 species
AAAAAAAAUACAAAAAUUAGUCAGGUGUUGUGGUGUACGCCUGUGGUCCCAGCUAAUGGGGAGGCUGAUGUGAGAGGAUUGCCUGAGCCCAGAAGGCAGAGGUUGCAGUGAGCUGAGAUCACACCACUGCACUCCAGCGUGGGUGACAGAGCGACACCCUGUCUCAAAAAAGAAAAAAAAAAAAAGCUUAAUUAAUUAACGGUUUUUCUUCCUAAGGGCUGGGAUCAUACCAGUUUGCUUCACUGCAGUGCCUGAACAUAGUAGGCAUAGUAGAUUCAAUAAAUCUUUGGUUCCUUGGCUGGUUGUUGCCUGCUCUGUGCUGAUGAGAAAGGAGCCAGGCAAGACACAGUAAGCAACAGAUAACCACCAACCAGCCAAUGAACUCAAGAUUUCUUGAAUCUACUGUGCCUAGAAUGUUCAGUCACUGCAGUAAAGGACACUGGUACAAUCCAGCCUGUGGGAAGAAAAGCAAUCAAUUGAGCAAUUACUAUGCAGUGUGAUGAG